GCCAGCAUAGCAUGGUGGUUUGAGUAUUGGACUGAGACUCUGGAGACCAAGGUUCAAUUCCCUGCUCAGCCA